rnacentral:rRNA from 1 species
UACGUAGGGCGCAAGCGUUGUCCGGAAUUAUUGGGCGUAAAGAGCUCGUAGGUGGCUUGUCACGUCGGGUGUGAAAGCUUGGGGCUUAACUCCAGGUCUGCAUUCGAUACGGGCUGGCUAGAGGUAGGUAGGGGAGAACGGAAUUCCUGGUGUAGCGGUGAAAUGCGCAGAUAUCAGGAGGAACACCGGUGGCGAAGGCGGUUCUCUGGGCCUGUACUGACGCUGAGGAGCGAAAGCGUGGGGAGCGAACAGG